GCCCUCGUAGCUCAACGGAUAGAGCACCGCACUCCUAACGCGGCGAUUUAGGUUCAAUUCCUAGCGAGGGCA
rnacentral:tRNA from 2 species